UCUGGGCCCCUCGGCUCGGCAGCUCUCAGGGGCCUUGGAAUCGCGUCUCUUUUGACAAGCAUCCGAUCGGAUGUCUUUUAGACGUCUUGCUCCGAGCUGUGUCAACAGCCGUGCGCCGCGAGGAUCCAUUGUAGCGGCUUAGGACUUGAAGAAACGCAAAGAUAGGUAGAGGAUUGCGGCCGUAAGAUUCUUGGGCAUCCAUCCUGGCGGUUCCUGGAGUUUGUCAUUCCGUCAGCAUCUUCUUCCUCCCGGGUUCUGUGAGCUUCAUCAGCUCGCCUUCGUUCUCACCCGGCUCAUCUCGUUCCGCAUUCUCUCAGUGCUUGCGGUCGUUCUUGUGGCCCAGAGUUUUGUCUCCCCAUUGUGUCCCCUCGUCUGUUGUCUGGUGUGUCACGGGUGUCUGGGUGUAGUUGUCCCGGAGCUGCUCUGCCCUGCUGCCCAGCCUGGCUGUAGGUGUAAAAGGCCAAGUCCCAGGCCCCCGUAAUUUGAAAUCUGUGAUGUAGGGUAUAGUUGGGGUCUAGAACAUAUCCCUAGAUCAACACAAGAUGUCUGGAGCUGUGAAGUUACCCUGCAGCACUUUAACUUUUGUCUCAGCUUUCUUUCAGAUGCGGAUGGAUGAAAUCAGUGGCAGAGAGCCCCAUCCAGGGUAAGGGGGUUCCCCCGAGAAGGUAAGUCAAUGUUUGUCUUUGCAGGGCAACUGGAACCGGUCACUGUGUUACAGGUCUCCUCUUUGUCUUUAUUUUUAGGAAAUAGAGCCGGCUAGCAGCAGUCAAGGUGAAGUGGGCAAGGCGGUCCAGUCGCGUUUUGUCGAGACCCCGUCGCCAGCCGGCCGGCACGCCUGCUUCGCCGCUCCCGUGAGCCCUGCGGAAGCGUCACAGGGACCGCGUGACGGAGCCUUUUCCACGUAAAGGGGCCGUGUGGGUGGCCUUCAGGAAGGGGCCGAGGGCUUCCCGCGCGCCCUCUGCGACGACGGUGUCUGGUUUCGGCGUGGCGGUAUCAUGCGGCCUUCAGGACACGGCCGUUCGCAGGAGACCUUGACGGAGAGACGACAGCCUGGCGAUGGCAGGAACUUCCCGGAUAGCCAGGCGGCCUUCCUUGGCGCUUCGUGUGGAUCCUCCUCAGCGGGCAUCCGAGAGCUGAGUCGAAGGCUACAACCCGCAGAGGGGAUGAAAGCGGGGUGCCGGGCCGGGACAUGUGCCCUGGGAUUUUUGAGUCAGCUUUGGGGAUGGGGAGGUCCAGGCUGUGGCCCCUUAGGCCACACGGUGGGAGAGCCUCACUUUUGUUCACAGUGCUGAGGUGUGCAGGACAGAGCAGCCUCGGGGCGCAUCGUGUCACUUGUCCGUCGUGCCUUCUGUGUCUUUUGUGCCUCUUGUGUUGUACGUGCCUUGCCCUAUCUCUUCUGGGGGCUUACCAGAAACCCCAGCGUCGCUUAUAGCAUCUCCAAUCUCUGGGCCCCUCGGCUCGGCAGCUCUCAGGGGCCUUGGAAUCGCGUCUCUUUUGACAAGCAUCCGAUCGGAUGUCUUUUAGACGUCUUGCUCCGAGCUGUGUCAACAGCCGUGCGCCGCGAGGAUCCAUUGUAGCGGCUUAGGACUUGAAGAAACGCAAAGAUAGGUAGAGGAUUGCGGC